GGUCAUGACAUCACAGAAGGCAUAUUAUCCACGGGUUUCGCUGAUAUCGCACAGUUCUUUUAAUGUCUCUGUUCGUUGUCAACGAAACCUGCGGUUAUUGCCUUGGUUCAGCGAAGUGCAAUCU
rnacentral:pre_miRNA from 15 species